rnacentral:rRNA from 1 species
AUACGUAGGUGGCAAGCGUUAUCCGGAAUUAUUGGGCGUAAAGAGGGAGCAGGCGGCAGCAAGGGUCUGUGGUGAAAGCCUGAAGCUUAACUUCAGUAAGCCAUAGAAACCAGGCAGCUAGAGUGCAGGAGAGGAUCGUGGAAUUCCAUGUGUAGCGGUGAAAUGCGUAGAUAUAUGGAGGAACACCAGUGGCGAAGGCGAUGAUCUGGCCUGCAACUGACGCUCAGUCCCGAAAGCGUGGGGAGCAAAUAGGAUUAGAUACCCUAGUAGUCCACGCCGUAAACGAUGAGUACUAAGUGUUGGAUGUCAAAGUUCAGUGCUGCAGUUAACGCAAUAAGUACUCCGCCUGAGUAGUACGUUCGCAAGAAUGAAACUCAAAGGAAUUGACGGGG